GUUUAGACCCCGUGUGCCUGUCGGGCUGUGCCCAGGUUCGGAGCCAUGCCAGUUUGUGGGUGAAACUCGAGGCAGUGAUGGAGCCACUGCACCCUCAGCAGAAGCAGCCGCCGCCGCCACAGCCACCCCACCUGGCUCCUCUGCAGAUGGAUGCCAGAGAGAAGCAGGGGCAGCAGAUGAGAGAAACCCCGUUCUUGUACACCCAGAAGCUGGUCACACAGCAGACUCACCUUUCUGCCACACCUGGGAGGCCUUCUGGCAGCCCUGCCCUGGGUCCCUCAGCCAGAGUUCCACCGGCCACUGCAGGGGCCCGAGUUUUUGAACAGAGCAAGGUGAACUCAGAGCCUGAGGAAGAGGAAGGAGGUUUGGAAGGUGAGGAUGGGGAUGAUGAAGUUGCAGAGGUGCCUGAGAAACAGACCCAGGCUGCUUCAAAAUAUUUUCAUGUGCAGAAGGUGGCUCGCCAAGACCCCAGAGCAGCUCCCUUAACUGGUCUGCUCCCAGCACCAGGGCUCGCACCCCAUGGACAGCAAGCUAAAGAAGACCAUACCAAAGAUGCUUCGAAAACCUCCGCUUCAGUCUCUGCGGCAGGGCAGCCGGGCUGGAACCUGGAUGAGCAGCUCAAGCAGUUCCCUUUUAUGGAGUCGUCCUUUAAAAGUGGAAGUUCACCUGCUUCUCAGCAUGAUUCCCCCAGUCCACCCCCCGUCAAAUCCAUCGCUUGGCCCGAAGCGACUCUCCGAACAACGGUCCCUUGGCUUCUUUUUCAGAAUGGUGGUUUGGCCUGGAGUGACGAUGCAGAUGGAGGCCGGGGAAGAGAGAUCUCUCGUGAUUUUGCCAAGCUGUAUGAACUGGACAGUGACCCGGAGAGGAAAGAGUUCCUGGAUGACCUCUUCGUCUUUAUGCAGAAGAGGGGGACCCCUAUCAACCGAAUCCCCAUCAUGGCCAAGCAGAUCCUGGACCUGUACAUGCUGUAUAAGCUGGUGACGGAGAAGGGGGGCCUGGUGGAGAUCAUCAACAAGAAGAUCUGGAGAGAGAUCACCAAAGGCUUGAACCUGCCCACGUCCAUCACCAGCGCGGCCUUCACCCUGAGGACCCAGUAUAUGAAAUAUCUCUAUGCCUACGAGUGCGAGAAGAAAGCCUUGAGCUCCCCUGCUGAGCUGCAGGCGGCCAUUGACGGCAACAGGAGGGAGGGUCGGCGGCCCAGCUACAGUUCCUCCCUCUUUGGCUACUCACCCACCGCCGCCGCCGGGGCCCCUGCCCUCCUCUCCCCACCCAAGAUCCGCUUCCCCAUCCUUGGGCUGGGCUCCAGUGGUGGCACCAGUGCCAGCGGCUCUCGAAUGUCCCCGGCAGCUCCUCUCAGGAAAGGUGAUGGAGUCCCAGUGACCACCGUGCCCGUGCCAAAUCGCCUGGCUGUGCCUGUGACUUUGGCUGGCCAGCAGGCCAGUACCCGGACGGCCACGCUGGAGCAGCUGCGGGAGCGGCUGGAGUCAGGGGAGCCUCCGGAGAAGAAGGUGUCCAGGCUGUCAGAAGAGGAGCAGCGUCUGGUGCAGCAGGCUUUCCAGCGCAACUUGUUCAACAUGGCGCGGCAGCUGCCCAUGAAGAUCAGGAUCAACGGCAGGGAGGACAGAGCAGAGGCCUCGGCAGCAGCACUGAACCUAACCACAAGCAGCGUUGGGAGCAUCAGCAUGUCUGUGGACAUCGAUGGGACCACUUACGCAGGUGUGCUGUUUGCCCAGAAACCUGCAGUCCACCUCAUCACAGGAUCCGCCCCCCAGAGCCUCGGCAGCAGCUCAAGCAGCAGCAGCAGUUCUCACUGCUCGCCAAGUCCUACCUCAUCCCGGGGCACCCCCAGUGCAGAGCCCUCCACCAGCUGGUCCCUCUGAGGGGCAGGACCCAGCUCUGCACUCCCCACUCUUCCUUCAAGAGCGGCGGAAGUUGAUGCACAGAAUUUACCUCAUCUCACGGAGCCCACAUCAGACACCAUUUGGCCGGAUGUUGAGAGUUUGGACAUGUCCGUCUGCCCAGGCUCCAUCAGGUCCUGCUGUACUCUAGAGGCAGGGAGAGGUGGAGGGGCCUGACAGGGCAGCGUUGUCCAAUCAGGGAUUGUUCUGGAGAACUGGGCAGGGUCUGUGGGCGUCCAGCUUCCCCCAGGGCUCCCAGGCCCCCUCCCAUCCCGGGCACAGUGUAUCGACAAUCUGUAAGCUGACACAGGGCUGGAGACUCUCCACACCCUUUCCCCUUUAAUUUAUUUCUCUUUCCCUGCCUUCUGCUGUGACUCCAGGGUCGCUGGUCUCUUUCCCUGCUCAGCUCCCCCAUC
rnacentral:lncRNA from 1 species